rnacentral:rRNA from 1 species
UGUUGAGGAAGAUAAUGACGGUACUCAACAAGGAAGUGACGGCUAACUACGUGCCAGCAGCCGCGGUAAAACGUAGGUCACAAGCGUUGUCCGGAAUUACUGGGUGUAAAGGGAGCGCAGGCGGGAGAACAAGUUGGAAGUGAAAUCCAUGGGCUCAACCCAUGAACUGCUUUCAAAACUGUUUUUCUUGAGUAGUGCAGAGGUAGGCGGAAUUCCCGGUGUAGCGGUGGAAUGCGUAGAUAUCGGGAGGAACACCAGUGGCGAAGGCGGCCUACUGGGCACCAACUGACGCUGAGGCUCGAAAGUGUGGGUAGCAAACAGGAUUAGAUACCCUGGUAGUCCACACCGUAAACGAUGAUUACUAGGUGUUGGAGGAUUGACCCCUUCAGUGCCGCAGUUAACACAAUAAGUAAUCCACCUGGGGAGUACGACCGCAAGGUUGAAACUCAAAGGAAUUGACGGGGGCCCGCACAAGCAGUGGAGUAUGUGGUUUAAUUCGACGCAACGCGAAGAACCUUACCAAGUCUUGACAUCCCUUGACGAACAUAGAAAUAUGUUUUCUCUUCGGAGCAAGGAGACAGGUGGUGCAUGGUUGUCGUCAGCUCGUGUCGUGAGAUGUUGGGUUAGUCCCGCAACGAGCGCAACCCUUAUGGUCAGUUACUACGCAAGAGGACUCUGGCCGGACUGC